UCCGGUUGAUCCUGCCGGACCCCACUGCUAUCGGGAUGGGACUAAGACAUGCUAGUCGUGCGCCUUUCAGCCAUGUGAGAGGCGCGGCAGACAGCUCAGUAACACGUGGCUAACCUGCCCUUAGGAUGGGAACAACCCCGGGAAACUGGGGCUAAUUCCCGAUAGGUGAAGAACUCUGGAAUGAGUCUUUGCCCAAAAGGUGCCGGAUCAUGCUUUCGGCAUCGCCUAAGGAUGGGGCCGCGACCGAUCAGGUUGUUGGUGAGGUAAUGGCCCACCAAGCCUAUAACCGGUGCGGGCCGUGAGAGCGGGAGCCCGGAGAUGGGCACUGAGACAAGGGCCCAGGUCCUACGGGGCGCAGCAGUCGCGAAACCUUUGCAAUACACGAAAGUGUGACAGGGUCAUCCCGAGUGCCGACCGCUGAGGUUGGCUUCUACCCAGUCUAGAAAGCUGGGGGAGCGAACCGGAUUAGAUACCCGGGUAGUCCCAGCUGUAAACGAUGCAGACUAGGUGUUUGGACGGCCACGUGCCGUUCUAGUGCCGCAGGGAAGCUGUUAAGUCUGCCGCCUGGGGAGUACGAUCGCAAGAUUGAAACUUAAAGGAAUUGGCGGGGGAGCACCACAAGGGGUGAAGCUUGCGGUUUAAUUGGAGUCAACGCCGGAAAUCUCACCGGGAGCGACAGCAGUGUGAAGGCCAGAUUAAAGGUCUUGCCAGACGAGCUGAGAGGAGGUGCAUGGCCGUCGCCAGUUCGUGCCGUGAGGUGUCCUGUUAAGUCAGGCAACGAUCGAGACCCGCGUCCUCUGUUGCUACCAGCCCUGUGCUGGGCACACUGAGGAGACCGCCGCUGAUAAAGCGGAGGAAGGAGCGGGCCACGGCAGGUCAGUAUGCCCCGAAUCUCCCGGGCCACACGCGAGCUGCAAUGGCAAGUACAAUGGGUUCCGACCUUGAAAAGGGGAGGCAAUCUCGAAAGCUUGCCGUAGUUGGGAUCGAGGGCUGUAACCCGCCCUCGUGAACAUGGAAUCCCUAGUAAUCGCGUGUCAUCAGCGCGCGGUGAAUACGUCCCUGCUCCUUGCACACACCGCCCGUCGUUCCACCCGAGCGACUUUUGGGUGAGGCGUCGUCAUCAUGGCGGCGUCGAAUCUAAGUUUCGUAAGGGGGGAAAAGUCGUAACAAGGUG
rnacentral:rRNA from 1 species